AGUGAAUGCUGGCGGCGUGCCUAAUACAUGCAAGUCGAACGAAGUGGCGCACGGGUGCGUAAUAUAUAGUUAAUCUGCCCUACACAGAGGAACAACAGUUGGAAACGGCUGCUAAUACCUCAUAGUGUAGGAUGAGACUAUAUCGUAUCAGCUAGUUGGUAAGGUAAUGGCUUACCAAGGCUAUGACGCGUAACUGGUGUGAGAGGAUGAUCAGUCACAUGGGAAUUGAGACACGGUCAAAACUCCUACGCGAGGCAGCAGUAAGGAAUAAUGCGCGAUGGGGGAAACCCUGACGAAGCAACGCGGCGUGGAGAAUGACACUUUUCAGAGAGUAAACUCAUGGUAUCAGGAAAGCGGUACCUGAUAAAUAAGCACCGGCAAACUCCGUGCCAGCAGCCGCGGUAAUUC
rnacentral:rRNA from 1 species